rnacentral:tRNA from 1 species
GGGUCCAUAGCUCAACUGGAUAGAGCAUCUGACUACGGAUCAGAAGGUUGGGGGUUCGACUCCCUUUGGGCCCA